rnacentral:lncRNA from 1 species
CACCAGUGAAUAUUGUCCGCUUUGGGUUCACGCCCAGUGUCCUUCCCCUCACGGUUUUGUUUCUGGGUCAAGGGAUUUACUACCCUGUCUUCCCAAAACGCGUCCACUGGGGUGUCCAGGGCUUGACCUUAUAAGGCCCCCACCCUUUCAACAUCUUUCCGAUGUGGGAUACUUUAAAUCCACCUACAAGGGGUAUUACAUUCUUCCCCCCAUAAGGCUUGAGCGUUCUCGCUCAGCACACCGUACUCAUGAGGUCCAGGCUCUGAUACCAAUUGUAACAUCCUCUGGGCCCACACCAGUGAAUAUUGUCCGCUAUGGGUUCACGCCCAGCGUCCUUCCCCUCACGGUUUUGUUUCUGGGUCAAGGGAUUUACUACCCUGUCUUCCCAAAACGCGUCCAAUGGGGUGUCUAGGGCUUGACCUUAUAAGGCCCCCACCCUUUCAACCUCUUUCCGAUGUGGGAUACUUUAAAUCCACCUACAAGGGGUAUUAC